rnacentral:rRNA from 1 species
CAUGUCUUUUUGAUAAUAAUUUAAAGUCUGACCUGCUCAAUGAAUUUUUAAAUUGCCGCAGUAUCCUGACUGUGCAAAGGUAGCAUAAUAAUUAGUUUUUUUAUUGAAAGCUGGAAUGAACGGUUGGACAAGAAAAUUUCUGUCUCUAUUAUAAUUUUUUUUUGAAAUUAAUUUUUAAGUUCAAAAGCUUAAAUUUUUUUAAAAGACGAGAAGACCCUAUAGAGUUUUAUUUUUCUUUGACUUAUUGUUUUUAGGAAUUUAAUUUUUUAAUUUUUUGAAAAAUUUGGUUGGGGUGACUAAAAGAUUUAAUUAACUCUUUAAAAUUAAUAUCAUUGAUCUGUGAAUUUUGAAUCUAUAUUUUUAAAUAUAAAAUAAAUUACCUUAGGGAUAACAGCGUUAUUUUUCUUUAGAGUUCUUAUUGAAAGAAAAGUUUGCGACCUCGAUGUUGGAUUAAAAUUUGCUUUUGGUGUAGCAGCUAGAAGGCUGAGUCUGUUCGACUUUUAAAAUUUUACAUGAUCUGAGU